rnacentral:rRNA from 1 species
ACGGGAGGCAGCAGUGGGGAAUAUUGGACAAUGGGGGAAACCCUGAUCUAGCGACGCCGCGUGAGUGAAGAAGUAUUUCGGUAUGUAAAGCUCUAUCAGCAGGGAAGAUAAUGACGGUACCUGACUAAGAAGCCCCGGCUAACUACGUGCCAGCAGCCGCGGUAAUACGUAGGGGGCAAGCGUUAUCCGGAUUUAUUGGGUGUAAAGGGUGCGUAGACGGGAAAUCAAGUUAGUUGUGAAAGCCCUCGGCUUAACUGAGGAACUGCAACUAAAACUAAUUUUCUUGAGUGCAGGAGAGGAAAGCGGAAUUCCUAGUGUAGCGGUGAAAUGCGUAGGUAUUAGGAGGAACACCAGUGGCGAAGGCGGCUUUCUGGACUGUAACUGACGUUGAGGCACGAAAGUGUGGGGAGCAAACAGGAUUAGAUACCCUGGUA